rnacentral:rRNA from 1 species
UACGUAGGGUGCGAGCGUUGUCCGGAAUUAUUGGGCGUAAAGGGCUCGUAGGCGGUUUGUCGCGUCGGGAGUGAAAACCAGGUGCUUAACACCUGGCUUGCUUUCGAUACGGGCAGACUAGAGGUAUUCAGGGGAGAACGGAAUUCCUGGUGUAGCGGUGAAAUGCGUAGAGAUCAGGAGGAACACCCGGGGGCGAAGGCGGCCCUCUGGCUCGACCCUGACGCUGAGGCGCGAAAGCGUGGGGAGCGAACGGG